AGGUUUGGGAAGGGAAAUGUGGCUAAUAUCUCUAACAGCUGUCAGAGGAGGGACCUUCCUUCAAAGGGACUAGACCGGGAUCCCCGCAAGUUCCCCAUUAGUCUUGCAGGGCAGCAGUUUGGAGGAUGCAAUUUUGCCCGUGAAUGCAUUUUCUCAAAAUGCGUUGGCUUCAUUCCUCCUUUGCUAAAGAAUAUCAACGGAUUUACUAAUAGAACCUAGUCCAGGAAUAUCCAGUGUGUCAGAUCAAAUCCCAGCAACAAAGCUGCGCGAAACUGCAAAACCGGUCCUCGGAGCUCUGAGCGGCUGGGCUGUCUCGUCCACAUAUAACAUCAGAGCGCCCCCUGCUGGCGAGCGGAGUAGAAGGCGGUGGGUCAGCCCUCUGCGAAGCAAAUCGUGGUUUUUUGCGCCACCCCCAUCCGAAACACCCUCCCCAGUACUGAUUCCCUUUCACUACCCCCACCUCGGUUCUGCAGCAAAACCCCGCGGCAGGGGAAUAGCUUGCCAAGACCGAGCAUGUAAAUGAAUAAAUGAUUAAAAAUAAUAAAGUACGAAGGAACCCCAACCUUCACUUGGCCUCCGGGGAAUAAACUAUCAAUUGACUAGGAAAG